rnacentral:rRNA from 1 species
UACAGAGGUCCCGAGCGUUGUUCGGAUUCACUGGGCGUAAAGGGUGCGUAGGUGGCAUGGUAAGUUUGAUGUGAAAGCUCAGGGCUUAACCCUGAAAUGGCAUUGAAUACUACUGUGCUGGAGGUUUGGAGGGGGGACUGGAAUUCUUGGUGUAGCAGUGAAAUGCGUAGAUAUCAGGAGGAACACCGGUGGCGAAGGCGGCCCUCUGGACGGAUACUGACGCUGAGGCGCGAAAGCGUGGGGAGCAAACAGG